CCGGAGAGGGAGCCUGAGAAACGGCUACCACAUCCAAGGAAGGCAGCAGGCGCGCAAAUUACCCAAUCCCGACACGGGGAGGUAGUGACAAUAAAUAACAAUACAGGGUUCUUUUGGAUCUUGUAAUUGGAAUGAGUACAAUUUAAAUCUCUUAACGAGGAACAAUUGGAGGGCAAGUCUGGUGCCAGCAGCCGCGGUAAUUCCAGCUCCAAUAGCGUAUAUUAAAGUUGUUGCAGUUAAAAAGCUCGUAGUUGAAUUUCGGGAUCAAUGUUUCGGUCAUGCCGUUGGUAUGUACUGAUAUUAUUGAUUUCUCACCUUCUAAAGAACCGUAAUGCCAUUAAUUUGGUGUCACGGGGAAUUAGGACUGUUACCUUGAAAAAAUUAGAGUGUUUAAAGCAGGCUCACGCUUGAAUACAUUAGCAUGGAAUAAUGAAAUAGGACAUCCGAUUCUAUUUUGUUGGUUUCUAGGAUCGAUGUAAUGAUUAAUAGGGAUAGUUGGGGGCAUUAGUAUUCAAUUGUCAGAGGUGAAAUUCUUGGAUUUAUUGAAGACUAACUACUGCGAAAGCAUUUGCCAAGGAUGUUUUCAUUAAUCAAGAACGAAAGUUAGGGGAUCGAAGACGAUCAGAUACCGUCGUAGUCUUAACCAUAAACUAUGCCGACUAGGGAUCGGAUGAUGUUAAUUUUUU
rnacentral:rRNA from 1 species